rnacentral:ncRNA from 1 species
AUAUUUUACCAUGAAGGACAGAAAAAUGAAUUCAACUGUGAAACGGUCGGUAUUCUUCAUACUUAAGCUAAACUUUUCAACAUCUCUUGAGCGAAAAAAUGUCUUGUCUAUUAUGAUAGAUUUCGCGUUAUUUUAUAAUGCCUCUUUUAUAACACCUCUUAGUUAAAAAGAAAAAGACUGUUCUGAAUGACUCUGUAGAGACCGUAUGGUCUCGUACCGAUGGCAGGUCUUUCAAAUUUCUGCCCUACGGACUUUUUGAGAGUUCUCGUGAUUGUAAUAGGUAAUCAAGGUUCGAUUCCGGAGCGAAACCCUGAGAAACGGCUUCCACAACCAAGGACGACAUCUGGAGCGUAAGUUAUACCCAUUUCUAGCUCGGAGAGGAAAU